rnacentral:rRNA from 1 species
GAUGAACGCUGGCGGCGUGCCUAAUACAUGCAAGUCGAGCGAACGGACGAGAAGCUUGCUUUUCUGAUGUUAGCGGCGGACGGGUGAGUAACACGUGGAUAACCUACCUAUAAGACUGGGAUAACUUCGGGAAACCGGAGCUAAUACCGGAUAAUAUUUUGAACCGCAUGGUUCAAAAGUGAAAGACGGUCUUGCUGUCACUUAUAGAUGGAUCCGCGCUGCAUUAGCUAGUUGGUAAGGUAACGGCUUACCAAGGUAACGAUGCAUAGCCGACCUGAGAGGGUGAUCGGCCACACUGGAACUGAGACACGGUCCAGACUCCUACGGGAGGCAGCAGUAGGAAAUCUUCCGCAAUGGGCGAAAGCCUGACGGAGCAACGCCGCGUGAGUGAUGAAGGUCUUCGGAUCGUAAAACUCUGUUAUUAGGGAAGAACAUAUGUGUAAGUAACUGUGCACAUCUUGACGGUACCUAAUCAGAAAGCCACGGCUAACUACGUG